CUAAAAUGAGAGUUUGAUCCUGGCUCAGGACGAACGCUGGCGGCGUGCCUAAUACAUGCAAGUAG
rnacentral:rRNA from 6 species